UGUGUGGUACUCCUAUCCUUACCUCCUCGCAGUACUGGCCGGGGUACGAUAAACCUUAGGGAAGAUCGGGUAACCAACUCCGGUGGGAGCUUUGUACGUAUGCUGAUAGGGAGGG
rnacentral:ribozyme from 1 species